AGAUUGGAGAGCAAUGGGACUGUGACAUCUGUCACCCCACUGAUGGCCAGGAUUGAUUCCACUGAUCUGGCUGCCUAGGCAGGUGUCCCCUUCCUUUCUCCUCAUUGUAUGUACAUCCCUCCCAAAGCUGUACACGCAGCUGAAGAUGACAACCUUCCCUCAUAAGAGGGGACCUCUCUUUGGUCAACAGCAUGCAAAUAGCUGUGCUCCCCUGCUGGAACCUCAAGACAAGCUCUCAAGCUCCAUUUGUAGGAAAAUGUAAGGGGACGUCAAGGGUCUCAGACUCCAGAAACAUCCAUCUGAGUUGCUGCAUGGGCAGUCUGCCUUUCUU
ensembl:misc_RNA 7SK 7SK RNA